GACGUAGGUGGCGAGCGUUGUUCGGAAUUACUGGGCAUAAAGCGCGCGUAGGCGGCCAAGUCAGUCGAAUGUGAAAGCCCUUGGCUCAACCAAGGAACUGCGUCCGAUACUGCUUGGCUUGAGGUCCGGAGGGGGGAGUGGAAUUCCCGGUGGAGCGGUGAAAUGCGUAGAGAUCGGGAAGAACGCCGGCGGCGAAAGCGACUCUCUGGUCGGAAUCUGACGCUGAGGUGCGAAAGCUAGGGGAGCAAACGGG
rnacentral:rRNA from 1 species